rnacentral:rRNA from 1 species
UACGAAGGGGGCUAGCGUUGCUCGGAUUUACCGGGCGUAAAGGGCGCGUAGGCGGACAGUUAAGUUGGGGGUGAAAGCCCGGGGCUCAACCUCGGAAUUGCCUUCAAUACUGGCUGUCUUGAGUGUGAGAGAGGUGUGUGGAACUCCGAGUGUAGAGGUGAAAUUCGUAGAUAUUCGGAAGAACACCAGUGGCGAAGGCGGCUCACUGGACCGGUAUUGACGCUGAGGUGCGAAAGCGUGGGGAGCAAACAGG